GAGUUUGAUCAUGGCUCAGGACGAACGCUGGCGGCGUGCUUAACACAUGCAAGUCGAGGGAGGACGGCCCCUUCGGGGGUCGAGCCGACCGGCGGACGGGAGCGUAACACGUGAGGAACCUGCCUCGGAGUGGGGAAUAACCACGAGAAAUCGUGGCUAAUUCCGCAUGAUGCAGCGGCUCCGCAUGGAGACAGUUGUUAAAGAUCGCCUCUGCUUCGCAAGCGAUCGCCUCGAGAUGGCCUCGCGGCCUAUCAGCUAGUUGGUGAGGUAAUGGCUCACCAAGGCGACGACGGGUAGCCGGCCUUAGAGGGUGUCCGGCCUCAUUGGGACUGAGACACGGCCCAGACUCCUACGGGAGGCAGCAGUGAGGAAUCUUGCGCAAUGGGCGAAAGCCUGACGCAGCGACGCCGCGUGAGGGAUGAAGGCCUUCGGGUCGUAAACCUCUGUCAGGGGGAAAGAACCCGUCUCCGGUGAACAACCGGAGGCGCUGACGGUACCCCCAGAGGAAGCACCGGCUAACUCCGUGCCAGCAGCCGCGGUAAUACAAGGG
rnacentral:rRNA from 1 species